rnacentral:rRNA from 1 species
UACGAAGGGGGCUAGCGUUGUUCGGAAUUACUGGGCGUAAAGCGCACGUAGGCGGAUAUUUAAGUCAGGGGUGAAAUCCCGGGGCUCAACCCCGGAACUGCCUUUGAUACUGGGUAUCUCGAGUCCGAGAGAGGUGAGUGGAACUGCGAGCGUAGAGGUGAAAUUCGUAGAUAUUCGCAAGAACACCAGUGGCGAAGGCGGCUCACUGGCCCGGUACUGACGCUGAGGUGCGAAAGCGUGGGGAGCAAACAGG